UCAGAUGUGAAUUCUAAUGAUUCGGUUAGCCUCAGGGGAUGAUUUUCGACUUAGGAGUGCGAUCGGAAUUGAUUUUGGAGGUCCUGUGUAGAAUUAGGCUUGAAUUGGCGAAGUUAGUAUUUUGGCGAAAUCCGGUGUAUAGGUGAGAUUUUAUCCAAGGGUCGGAAUGGAAUUCUGAGAGUUGCAACAGCUCCUUUAGGUGAUUUUGCAUAUAUGUGCACAGUUUCAGACCAUUUGGAGGUGUGUAGGUCCAGUUUUUGAUCGAAUGUGCAAUACGGAAGUUUUUAAAAAACUUAGGCUUUGAUUUGAUGAUAAUUGAGGAUUUUGAUGUUAACGGUACUGUUUUCAUGGUUCAAGCAAGUUUGAAUAAGGUAAUAGAUCAUGUAUGUUAUUUUGGUUGAGGUCUCGGGGGCCUCAGGGUGAGAUGGGGUGUUAAAAUGAGAAGUUUUUGAGUUUGGCUUCAGGUUUGUUUUGCUGGUUCUGUUGUUUCUGCCUUUGCGGAAAGGGACCGCAUAAGAGGUUCCGCAGAUGCAGUUAAGGGGUCGCAUAGUCGUUUUUCUGGGAGGCUUGGACUUCCGUAGAAGCAGACAAAAAACUGCAUAAGCGAUGACCGCAGAAACGAUUUUGGGUCGCAGAAGCGGUCCCUGAUGAGUUUAAGUUAGAACGCAGAAGAGGUCAUUUGGACGCAUAUGCGGUGACCGCUGAAGCGGAAAUCGACUGGGGUUUAACUGAACAUUGUUCAUGAUUUUGAAAAAGGAGAAAAAAAACAUUUUGGGACUUCGGUUAAGGAGAUUUUUGGGCGAUUUUUGAAGAGAGUUCCAGGAGCUUUCAUCAGGUAUGAAUUAUUGGACAUGGAUUAUGUUAUUAUGGCGUAAAAAAAUGGAUUGGUCACUGAAUUUCAAGGAAUUAAAGGUUAAAAUUGAAGGUUUGGGCUUGAAACUUUAGAGAGUUUAAAUGUGGGUUUUGAAGGGGCAAUUGAACUCUGAUUUUGGUAAAUUUGAUAUGUAUAGACUCGUGGCAAGACGAGGAGUCCGAUGAUGUAAAUUUUGUAAUUUUUUGAGAAGUGGGCCCGAGGCUCGACUUUUGCCAACUUUGGGAUUUUUUGGUGUUUUUCGAGUCUUUUCGAUUGUGUUGUGUUCUAUUAGCCUAUUGUAACAUAUUCGUUGUGGUUUUGGCCAUAUUCGACGCGCGAGGAGGUCGAUUUGAGAGGAAAGAACAUUGCAGGCUAGUCUUUGGCUAGCUUGAGGUGAGUAAUAGAUGAUGACCUGAGGGUUGAAACACCGGUCUAACACAUUGUGACGCUAUAUUGAGGCGAGACACACACUCUAUGAUGAGUGUGGGGUCGUUUGUGAGUAGGGAUUGUGGCUUAGUCUGCCCCAACCGGUGUCCAAGCAGUGCAUUGGACUAUAUAUUGAUUUGUAAAACAUCCUACUUAGAUUGUUAUGAUAUAUUUGUUGGAAACACGUUCUCAAUGCAAUAUACUAAAACGUGUGUUCUUUUGUGUAAGUUUUGA
rnacentral:lncRNA from 1 species